rnacentral:tRNA from 1 species
GCCGCGGUGGUGGAAUUGGUAGACACGCGAGACUCAAAAUUUCGUGUCCUCACGGACGUGCCGGUUCGAUUCCGGCCCGCGGUACCA